rnacentral:rRNA from 1 species
AGCAGCCGCGGUAAUUCCAGCUCCAAUAGCGUAUAUUAAAGUUGUUGCAGUUAAAAAGCUCGUAGUUGAAUUUCGGGACCAAUAUGUCGGUCGUACUUUGUACGUACUGGCAUUAUUGGUUUCUCCCUUCUGAAGAACCGCGAUGUCAUUAAUUUGGUGUCGUGGGGAAUCAGGACUGUUACUUUGAAAAAAUUAGAGUGUUUAAAGCAGGCUCGCGCUUGAAUACAUUAGCAUGGAAUGAUGAAAUAGGACGUUUGAUUCUAUUUUGUUGGUUUCUAGGAUCGACGUAAUGAUUAAUAGGGAUAGUUGGGGGCAUUAGUAUUCAAUUGUCAGAGGUGAAAUUCUUGGAUUUAUUGAAGACUAACUACUGCGAAAGCAUUUGCCAAGGAUGUUU